rnacentral:lncRNA from 1 species
GUAAUCCCAGCUACUCGGGAGGCUGAGGCAGGAGAAUCACUUGAACCAGGGAGUUGGCGGUUCCAGUGAGCCGAGAUCACGCCACUGCACUCCAGCCUGGGCGACAGAGUGAGAUACCGUCUCAAUCAAUCAAUCAAUCAAUCAAUCAAGUCUUUCCAUCCACAAACCAGCUGUUGGAGUAAGUAGGUAGCCAGGCAUGAGCAGUUAAGGAAUCUUUAGAAACAGAGCCCAGUGACAAUCCCCUUGUGACAGCAAAAGCAGAACAGUGGCUACGUUGCCUACACUUGUCCUUGUGGCUGGGCUUGUCUGGCCCAGGAAAAGAAUUAUCAGGCCCUAGCCAGAAAUAACCCAGCUAGCGGAUUUUCCCUAUUAAGAAGCAUGCACACUCCUCUAAUAAUUCACCCUAGAAUGGCCUUUUGCUCAUUAUAAUACUAAGAAACACAUCCUCCUUUUUUUCAAAUACGAUCCUAGAAAAAAAUAAAUAAAAGCCACACCCCUGGGUGGAGAUUUGAGAUGCUAAUGAGACAUGUGAUGUGUGCACUAGCAUGGACAGUCACAGCACAUUCCUGCCCAGAGGACUUCCCGGAACAUGCUUACUAAUAAUGCCUGUGCACAGCCCCUUCAUGAAUAAUCAUGUCAGGUUCUCAUUAAAAGGGUCAGGCCAGCAUUAGUAAGGACAGACUCCUUUUCAGGAGCCCACCCAGUUCUGUUGUUCCAGGUGUCUCUUCUUUCUGAGAUCCAAUCUCUUUAAAUGAAGGGCAUUUACCCUUUAACUCUUUCUGCCAAUCUCUUGACUGAAUCCAAGAAGACCAAGAACCAGAGACCAACUUCCACACGCCUCCAGGUAACAUCUGGUGUUUUCACCUGGUUACCUGGUUACCUGACGUGGUUAGCAAGCUGUCAACAUUUCUGGCAUCUCCAGUUGGAUACAUCAGUCCCGAGUAAAACUGUGGGAAGGUCCCGAAGAACCACAGAAGAACAACAGAAUUCAGCACCUGAGCAUUCUUGUGAGCCACUGGAGAACUUAAAAGUCCUAGUCAAGUCAAAAGAUAAGUAAAGCCUUCUCUCUGUUCACCCAAAACUAAAGUCAGUCUCAGUACCGGGAAUCUUGGUUGCGGUGGCAUUGGUUAUUCUCCUUAUUUGGACCCACACUUGCAUGCCACCUGAAGUCCCAAUAACAGCCUGUUUUAUCACCAAACACUCCAUCUAACCAUUUAAUUAUUUGUCUCUCCUAUUUUCACCACUUUCCUUUUGCUUUCACAA